rnacentral:rRNA from 1 species
GACGGAGGAUGCAAGCGUUAUCCGGAAUUAUUGGGCGUAAAGCGUACGUAGGCUGUUAGAUAAGUCUGUUGUCAAAGCGCGAGGCUCAACCUUGUAAAGGCAAUGGAAACUGUUUGACUAGAGAGAGAUAGGGGCAGGAGGAAUUCCAGGUGUAGCGGUGAAAUGCGUAGAUAUCUGGAAGAACACCAGUGGCGAAAGCGUCCUGCUGGAUCUCAACUGACGCUGAGGUGCGAAAGCUAGGGGGGCGAAUGGGAUAAGAGACCCCAGGAGUCCUAGCCGUAAACGAUGGGUACUAGGUGUUGGUCGUAUCAACCCGAUCAGUGCCGUAGCUAACGCGUUAAGUACCCCGCCUGGGGAGUACGGUCGCAAGAUUG